rnacentral:rRNA from 1 species
AUUGAACGCUGGCGGCAGGCCUAACACAUGCCAGUCGAGCGGAUGAAGGGAGCUUGCUCCUGGAUUCAGCGGCGGACGGGUGAGUAAUGCCUAGGAAUCUGCCUGGUAGUGGGGGAUAACGUCCGGAAACGGGCGCUAAUACCGCAUACGUCCUGAGGGAGAAAGCGGGGGAUCUUCGGACCUCACGCUAUCAGAUGAGCCUAGGUCGGAUUAGCUAGUUGGUGGGGUAAAGGCCUACCAAGGCGACGAUCCGCAACUGGUCUGAGAGGAUGAUCAGUCACACUGGAACUGAGACACGGUCCAGACUCCUACGGGAGGCAGCAGUGGGGAAUAUUGGACAAUGGGCGAAAGCCUGAUCCAGCCAUGCCGCGUGUGUGAAGAAGGUCUUCGGAUUGUAAAGCACUUUAAGUUGGGAGGAAGGGCAGUAAGUUAAUACCUUGCUGUUUUGACGUUACCAACAGAAUAAGCACCGGCUAACUUCGUG